rnacentral:lncRNA from 10 species
GUUUUUUCCUUUGGGAAGAAGUCUAAACAAUGAAGUGGGGCGUGGGGCCAGCUUUAUCACCUGAGGAAGUAACCAGGUUCUUUUUUCUCCCCUCCCUGCAAUUUAGCAGAUAGGUGGGUCUCUUGGCCUGUGGCUCCUUCUUUACCCAGCAAGUCUCCCUCCCCAGAGAUGAGGAUCCCUGUAAUUACCUGAGUCCGCCCCGACUAGUUGUGGACGAUGUCUGCCAGCUGCCUACAGAAUCCACCCUUUUCCUUUGGAAUUCCCUCCUUCUCCUGACGCUGACAAUACCCUUGCCCUUCAGAGGACCUGCCUUCCCACUCUCCAUUGGACACUGUGGAACUUCUUGGCGUCCAGUCCCAAGGGCACAGCCACCGCAGGACUUCACGUCUGCCUGCCUGAGCAGGGCUGGUGUCUUAUGAAUGGCAGCUGAGACCCAGUUCAGGCUCACGACCUCAUAUCACAGAAAUGAACUCAAAGGAAAAUGACUAAUCACCGACCUACUCAGAAUCAUUGGUCCCCGGCAAGCAAGGGUGAUCCUGCAUCAAUCUAUUAAUUUUCAUUUCCAGGGUUCUCAGAUGUAAAACAAAUGUUUGAUGUAAUCCGCAACACUGCUCUGUUAUAAUUAAACAACCUCCUACUGCCUAAAUUGGCAAAGCACUCCAUCGAUCAGUGAUAAAUGUGGUCCUUGGGAGACUGCUUUUAUGUUUGUUUCACUCAUGGGAAAAUGGCCACAACCCUUUUGUAAGAUUCCUCGGCUGCUGCUCUCCCCAGGUUACAAUCAUAGUAACUGCUGCUUCUGGGAUGCCUCGCUGUAAUCCUCAUGUUCAAUGAUGGCUCAAUGGAUAUGUGCUUGAAGGAGAGUGAGUGAUGGGGAGUCUACAGUUAUGAAUAAAAUAUAUUCAAGUCAAUAAACCCUUCCUGGGUUCCUUUGCCUCACCAUUUUAUGCACAAUUUAUGAAGCACCCUACACAUACCAGGAGCUAUUUGCAAUGUUUAAGAUGUGGGAGCCCCCAUAAUUCUAAAU